rnacentral:rRNA from 1 species
CAUUACAGAGUUCAUGCCCUCACGGGUAGAUCUCCCACCCUUGAAUAUUUAUACCUUAGUUGCUUUGGCAGGCCGUGGAAACACCAUGGGCUCCGGCUUAUGCGUGCCUGCCAGAGGAAACAAACUCUGUUUUUAGUGAUGUCUGAGUACUAUAUAAUAGUUAAAACUUUCAACAACGGAUCUCUUGGUUCUGGCAUCGAUGAAGAACGCAGCGAAAUGCGAUAAGUAAUGUGAAUUGCAGAAUUCAGUGAAUCAUCGAAUCUUUGAACGCACAUUGCGCCCCGUGGUAUUCCGCGGGGCAUGCCUGUUCGAGCGUCAUUUCAACCCAUCAAGCUUCGGCUUGGACUUGGGGCCUGCGGUUUCGCAGCCUCUAAACCCAGUGGCGGUGCUAUUUGAGCUCUGAGCGUAGUAAUUUUUCUCGCUAUAGGGUCUCGGUAGUUACUUGCCAGUAACCCCCAAUUUUUAUCAGGUUGACCUCGGAUCAGGUAGGGAUACCCGCUGAACUUAAGCAUAUCAAUAAGCGGAGGAAAAGAAACCAACAGGGAUUACCUCAGUAACGGCGAGUGAAGCGGUAACAGCUCAAAUUUGAAAUCUGCCGCAAGGCCGAGUUGUAAUUUGUAGAAGAUGCUUUGGGUAUGGCCCCGGUCUAAGUUCGUUGGAACACGACGUCAUAGAGGGUGAGAAUCCCGUAUGUGACUGGGUGCUUUUGCCUAUGUAAAGCUCUUUCGACGAGUCGAGUUGUUUGGGAAUGCAGCUCAAAAUGGGUGGUAUAUUUCAUCUAAAGCUAAAUAUUGGCCAGAGACCGAUAGCGCACAAGUAGAGUGAUCGAAAGAUGAAAAGCACUUUGGAAAGAGAGUUAAACAGUACGUGAAAUUGUUGAAAGGGAAGCGCUUGCAACCAGACUUGCACGCUGUUGAUCAUCCAGGCUUCUGUUUGGUGCACUCAACUGUGUUCAGGCCAGCAUCGGUUUUGGUGGUGGGAUAAAGGCCUUGGGAAUGUAGCUUCUUUCGGGGAGUGUUAUAGCCCUCGGUGCAAUGCCGCCUACUGGGACCGAGGACCGCGCUUCGGCUAGGA